CACAGGUGAUUGCAUUUGAUAGCACUUAAUAAUGUUAUGACAAUAAGUAAAGCCAUUUAACCAAAAAGCUCUAAAUUACUUUCUUAUCAAGAAUAAUCUAUUUGAUUAUUUAUGAAAAAGUUCUUAUAUUUAGCAUUUGUCUAUCUUAGUCCAUAGAGAGAAACAUCGGAUUAGAAAAUGUGUUUCUAUUGACAGAGCCGGAGUUUGGCAUAGUCGAGUACACCAAUAUCGCAGCAAGAGCAUUUCUUAAGAACCCUUGUGGCAGCAGUUCGCUAAGUUCUCGGAACAUCGAACAAUUCAAUUAUCAGAAGCUAACCAAUACAAUAAACAUAAUAAAUACCAGAAUGCCUCAUCAAAAUGUUUAAUUCCUUCGAAGAGACAUGCAAACCGAAAAGCUGGAAUCAACAUGUCAUGGCCAGCAGAUACUUCUUGGCAUUGUGGAUGACAAUUGAAGACUUCUUUUGGAAUCGGUCGUAGGACAGAAGUGAAGGUUGUUUGAUCCACUGAAGAUGGAGCGAGACAGCAAGGAUCGGUUCGAGUGUCCGUUGUAAAUAUGCCAAGGACAAUGACACCUGCGAAGACAUUUUAUACAUUUGUACAAAAUUUGUUUUUAUUUCAUUUCAUUCGUCCGGAAUUCGAAUUACGUUAAAGAAUUGAAAACCAAUGAAAGAUU